rnacentral:rRNA from 1 species
UGAGGAAUAUUGCGCAAUGGGCGAAAGCCUGACGCAGCGACACCGCGUGAAGGAUGAAGGCUUUCGGGUUGUAAACUUCUGUUAAGUGGGAAGAAAAAGGCGGUCCUAAUACGACCGCAAACUGACGGUACCACUAGAGAAAGCACCGGCUAACUUCGUGCCAGCAGCCGCGGUAAGACGAGGGGUGCGAACGUUAUUCGGAAUGAUUGGGCGUAAAGGGUGCGUAGGCGGCUUAUUAAGUCAACUGUUAAAUUUCUCAGCCUAACUGGGAACAUGCGGUAGAAACUGAUAGGCUUGAGGGUGGAAGAGAGAAGUGGAAUUCUCGGAGUAGCGGUAAAAUGCGUAGAUCUCGAGAGGAACACCGAUGGCGAAGGCAGCUUCUUGGUCCAUUUCUGACGCUGAGGCACGAAAGCGUGGGGAGCAAACAGG